rnacentral:tRNA from 1 species
GGUGGCAUAGUAUAGUGGUCAGUACAGCUCGUUGUGGCCGAGCAGACCUCGGUUCGAUUCCGGGUGCCGCCA